UGUUGUAAUGGUGAUGGAUCCCACCGGGGCCGAUUGAUUGGCUGGCCUGGACCGCCGACGUGGCUGAUGGUUCCUGCUCCGAC
rnacentral:ncRNA from 2 species